UACAGAGGUCUCAAGCGUUUGUUCGGAUUCAUUGGGCGUAAAGGGGUGCGUAGGUGGCGCGGUAAGUCGGGUGUGAAAUUUCGGAGCUUAACUCCGAAACUGCAUUCGAUACUGCCGUGCUUGAGGACUGGAGAGGAGACUGGAAUUUACGGUGUAGCAGUGAAAUGCGUAGAGAUCGUAAGGAAGACCGUGGCGAAGGCGGGUCUCUGGACAGUUCCUGACACUGAGGCACGAAGGCCAGGGGAGCAAACGGGG
rnacentral:rRNA from 1 species